GACGAACGCUGGCGGCGUGCUUAACACAUGCAAGUCGAACGGAAAGGCCCUGCUUUUGUGGGGUGCUCGAGUGGCGAACGGGUGAGUAACACGUGAGUAACCUGCCCUUGACUUUGGGAUAACUUCAGGAAACUGGGGCUAAUACCGGAUAGGAGCUCCUGCUGAAUGGUGGGGGUGGGAAAGUUUCGGCGGUUGGGGAUGGACUCGCGGCUUAUCAGCUUGUUGGUGGGGUAGUGGCUUACCAAGGCUUUGACGGGUAGCCGGCCUGAGAGGGUGACCGGCCACAUUGGGACUGAGAUACGGCCCAGACUCCUACGGGAGGCAGCAGUGGGGAAUAUUGCACAAUGGGCGGAAGCCUGAUGCAGCAACGCCGCGUGCGGGAUGACGGCCUUCGGGUUGUAAACCGCUUUCGCCUGUGACGAAGCGUGAGUGACGGUAAUGGGUAAAGAAGCACCGGCUAACUACGUG
rnacentral:rRNA from 1 species